rnacentral:rRNA from 1 species
CGUGGGUGAUCUGCCCUGCACUCUGGGAUAAGCCUGGGAAACUGGGUCUAAUACCGGAUAUGACCUCUUGAUGCAUGGUCGGGGGUGGAAAGUUUUUCGGUGCAGGAUGAGCCCGCGGCCUAUCAUCUUGUUGGUGGGGUAAUGGCCUACCAAGGCGACGACGGGUAGCCGGCCUGAGAGGGCGACCGGCCACACUGGGACUGAGACACGGCCCAGACUCCUACGGGAGGCAGCAGUGGGGAAUAUUGCACAAUGGGCGCAAGCCUGAUGCAGCGACGCCGCGUGAGGGAUGACGGCCUUCGGGUUGUAAACCUCUUUCACCCAUGACGAAGCGCAAGUGACGGUAGUGGGAGAAGAAGCACCGGCCAACUACGUGCCAGCAGCCGCGGUAAUACGUAGGGUGCGAGCGUUGUCCGGAAUUACUGGGCGUAAAGAGCUCGUAGGCGGUUUGUCGCGUCGUCUGUGAAAUCCCGCAGCUCAACUGCGGGCUUGCAGGCGAUACGGGCA